rnacentral:siRNA from 1 species
AGCGAGUUGUCUCUGGUGAUCGCA